rnacentral:rRNA from 1 species
CGACCGGGUGAGUAACACGUGAUUAACCUACCUUCGAGUGGGGAAUAACUUCGGGAAACCGAAGCUAAUACCGCAUAACAUCCCAAGGACGAGGAGCCCAGGGAUCAAAGGAGCAAUUCGCUUGAAGAGGGGGUCGCGGCUGAUUAGCUAGUUGGCGGGGUAAUGGCCCACCAAGGCGAUGAUCAGUAGCCGGCCUGAGAGGGCGCACGGCCACACUGGAACUGAAACACGGUCCAG